AAAGUGACGUGCUGGAAUUCCACUGGGAGAGAGGUGGCCUGUUCCUUUAAGAAGGGCAGAGAAACUUCAUACAGCAAAAGGUUAGUCUGGCUUCCAGCAGAGGCAGAAGUGAAUAACAAGCCAAUCAACAUACAAAAUAUUGAACAGAGCAGCUCAGCCACAGCCAUCAGCCAAACAUGAGAUUAGUGUGUGGUUGCAGACAGGACGGAUCUUCCUGUCAUAACCUUUCUGAAUUGAGAAGAGCCAGACA